rnacentral:lncRNA from 1 species
UCUCUAUCUCUCACAUGUUUGGUCUAAAUUUGUUUAUGUGUCUCAUAGAUAUAUCAUAAACGCUCUUUCUGAAAGAAGGUUCACAUUCAACCUCACAAGACUUUCAUAAUUCCUUUCUCUCUUUCAAGUUUUGGUUCUCCUCUAUCGUUCUGCUCUUUAAGAGGUAACCCCUUUACAAACUGUUUUAAUUUUAUUUUUAUAUUCUCUUGCAUUCUUUUACGUUUAGUUGUUGAUCAUUUACUAUCAGUAGUCAAACUUGAUUUGUUACACUGACGAGAUUGAAUUUGUGAUUACUGUGGAAGAAUCCUUCGGUGAGGUUGUAGUGUUAUAAACUUUGUCAUCUUCGAAUGGUUGGAUAUGAAAAUAAAAUUAGGAGUAAUGUAGUUUUUACUUUAAUUGUUUGAAAUUUUCAUGUGGUGAAGACAAAUUGAGGACGAAAAAAAAUAUUGUCUUAUAUUUUGUAUCUGCAGAUGUCAAAUGGUGGCAUGCUUGACAAGAACCAUGAUGAAAUUGAUUUUGAGAUCUGAUCUGAUUCUGAAGUGCUUGUUGUAAGAUUUAUGGGUCACAUAUGUAAUUAAUUAAUAAAGUGUGUUAGGGUCAUUAUAUAAUUAGCCAAUAAACUAGGGGUCAAAUAAUAUAUAAUAGUUUAUGGCUAAAGAGCAUAAUAGUUAUGAAAAUUAAUAGUGUAGAUACCAGGCAGUUUCUAAUUUAAUGAGGGGC